CCCGUUGAGUUUAAGCAUAUCAAUAAGCGGCGAAAAAGAAACUUAAAAGGAUUCCCCUAGUAAAGGUGAGCAAACUGGGAAAUGCCUAGCUUAAGAAUCUGGCGCUUGCGGCGUCCGAAUUGUAGUAUGGAGAAGCGUCCUCAACGGCGGACCAGGCCCAAGUCCCCUGGAAAAGGGCGCCGAAGAGGGUGAGAGCCCCGUCGUGGCUGGACCCUGCCGCACCACGAGGCACUGUCUGCGAGUCAAGUUGUUUGGGAAUGUAGCCCCAAUCGGGCGGUAAAUUCCGUCCAAGGCUAAAUACGGGCGAGAGACAGAUAGCAAACAAGUACCUAUUCAUAAAUAAAAUUCUGAUUAUGAACUAAAAAAUUUAAUGUAUCUGAAGUAAUGUUUUUUUUUCAAUUACCAAGACAACAACAUCUUCGAUUGACUCAGGUCAACCCAAACUAUCUUGUCAAACUCAUAACUUGAAUUGAAUAGAAAUAUAAACACGAGAGUCAUUAAAAUAUUUAUUUGAUUAUAAAUAAAGCGGUAUUAUUCAAAUACUAUUCAUAGAAUACAUUACUCCACUCAAAUUGAAUAGAAUUUGAAAAUGAAGAUAUUUUAAAU
rfam:Populus trichocarpa scaffold_10_contig_231, whole genome shotgun sequence.